UACGGAGGGGGCUAGCGUUGUUCGGAAUUACUGGGCGUAAAGCGCACGUAGGCGGCUUUGUAAGUUAGAGGUGAAAGCCCGGGGCUCAACUCCGGAAUUGCCUUUAAGACUGCAUCGCUAGAAUUGUGGAGAGGUAAGUGGAAUUCCGAGUGUAGAGGUGAAAUUCGUAGAUAUUCGGAAGAACACCAGUGGCGAAGGCGACUCACUGGACACGUAUUGACGCUGAGGUGCGAAAGCGUGGGGAGCAAACAGG
rnacentral:rRNA from 1 species